GGGCCCUGUUCAUCCAGACAUUGUCUUUCUUUUUAAAGAAGCUAAAUGCCUUUUUUUUCCCUCUUUCUUCUUGCAUGACCUCUGGGACCUUGGGCAGUAAAUUUCUCUGGGACAGGUCGUGAGGAACCUCUUCAAAGCAGCAGAGAUGAGACAAACUGUUUCUCAGUUCACUCUCUACCACUGCUGCCCUCCCAAUGCUCAGGCGAUUCAUCCAGAAGCCAGGGUGUUGUGCUUCAUGAAAGGGCCACUACCCCUAAUGUGGGACCAAUACAAUAAAAGGCCAGGGCAGAGAGAAGAAAUAAAAGGAAAAGGGGUGUCUAGAGGGGGGUACAUGAUAGACUCCUGUGCCUGGAAGAGACUAGGAAAGUUAUACUGACUGGUUCACUGCAUUUGCUCAAACAGUAUUCAUCUUCUUGAGUUUACCAGGUGACUGGAAGAGCUGGGUUCAAGUUCUUUGGUUCACUAUGAUAUGUCUAGCUGAGCACAAUGCCUGGGACAUAGAGGGGAGGUCUGGGGCUUCACCAUGAUUCCUAAAAUAGAACAAAGCAUUUGUUAUUUGCCAAAGGUUCACAAAGCCUGAAAAAAUACAUGUUGUCUCUGGUGGAAAAGUAAGGGAAUAUCUCUUAAGCACCUACUACGCUCUGACUCCUGGGAUUUCACCUUCAGGGCUUUUAGAGAGGUGGAUAAUCAGGGUCAUCUUUUAUGGCGGGGGCCACAGCGACCACUGAAGAGGUAAAGAAUCCUGUAGGUCUAAAAGGAUCAGAGAGAGGCUUAAAACUACCUUUGCAAACCUAAAUAUGGCAGUCAGUUUAAAUUAGCAAAGCUGGAACUGUGGCAGAAUGAAUAGCCCACGUCUGAGCGACAGGGAAGGAAAGGGUUUACUGUGUGAUGGGAAAUGGUUCCAAAGUAGGAGCAGGGGGCUAGUGUGGUCAUGCCUCCUGAUAUUUCAAAAAAAUGCAAAAAGUUGAUAUUUAUGUGAAAUAUUGUGAUUUUAUAGGUUGGUGAUCAAUGAAAAAACUAACAAAUACAGUUAACAAGCAUGUUUUAAUGCUUGCAGACAGGACCCUUCCUGCCGAUGUUUGGCCUUUUCCUUUAAUGGAAUUUGGGCUACCCUGUAACAGCCCACCCUAAGCAAAACUUCUUUUCUGCCUUUCUUUUAUAUUGUUUUUCAUGGAAUGUAGAGGGAUUUUUCUGGAAUUUUUGGAACGGGGAAAUUAGUGACAAUGGUGGUGCUGAGAUUCCUGUUUAUUUCUUGGCUUUUCCCCAAUUCCCUGAGGGAACUCACUUCUUUUGGAUCUUCCACAACAUCUGUCGCAUAGUUGGGCAGAGAGGGCCCACACUUGGUACGUGUUGAUGAAAUAAAUGUGACUUCCUCUAAGUCGAGCUGAAUGGAGAACUGAAAUAUUAGGGUGGGUGAAAGUUACCUAAAUUGUUUGCUGCCAAACUUUGCUGUGUUCUUUGUCUCCAGUUCUGUGAGGUGUGCGUUACAUACCUAUUGCUAUAUAACAAAUUACCCCCAAAACAUAUCAGUUUAAAGUAACAAACAUUUAUUAUUGCCUACAUCUGUGGGUCAAGAAUUCAAGUGCCUCUUAGCUGCUACUCUCAUGAGGCUGUAAAGGAAAUAUCAGUUGGUGCUGCAGUCUCAUCUGAAGGAUCCACUCCAAAUUCACUCACGUGGUUAUUGGCAGGAUUCAGUUCCUCACCCACUAUUGGACUGAGGGCCUCAGUUCUUCACUGAUUGUUGACCGGAGCUCUCCUUCCAUUCUUUGUCAUAGGGCCUCUCCAUAGGGCAGCUCUGAACAUGGGAUCUGGUUUCCAUUAGAGCAAACAAUCAAAGAAAAGCAGUGCAAGACAGAAGCUGCAGUGUUUUGGUAACCUAAUCUCAGGAGUGACCCCCUGUCACUGCUUCUAUGUCAUAUUCUAGUCAUUAAAGGAGACCAUCUCACACUCAUGGGGAGAGACUACACAAGUCAUAGUGCUGCCAUGGCAACAGAACCAUUCGGAUGAUGCCUUGAGCCUUCCUUCUUCAUAUUUCUUAGACUUCUUUUCUGACCUAGAGGAGCCACAAGGCCUUGGGACUUGUCAUCCCAUCCAAUCCCAAGAAAUGACAGGAAUGAAGGGAUUUUUAAAAAUUCAACUCAUUUCAAUACAAAAAAAUGAGAGAAGUGAGUGCAUCUGAGAACUGAAAUUCUGUGCCUGGUCCACGGCAGAUGCUUGACUGGUGACAGCUUCCUUUCCCAGUGAGGCCCAGGGAAGUCGGCACCGUGCUUGGCACACUGUAAGCAUGUGGCACAGCUUCACAAAAUUCCCACAGGGAGCCAGGAGCACCACCUGAAUUUUAUGGAUGACAAAAUUGUGGUUCAAGGAAGUUAAAAGUACCCUGAUAGGACAGGUCUCCUACCUACUAGAUGACGCUGAUGGGGACAUUCUCCUGAAUGAGAAAGCAAUGGAAAGUUGUGACCAUCAAAGGAAGAUCAGAGAUCAAGCCUUGUUGAUGUAAAAGGAAUUAAAGUUAAGAAACCAUUUCCUGUAACUAGAAUUGUGAAAGCAUACAACGUAGUACCAAAGGAAAAUUACUGAAGGCUCCUUGCCUGAAGAACCUUCAGGAAGGGGAGGCCAGCCAUCUGACGUGAUCACAGUGAUGUCUUGCCCUGAGACAAGAAGCAUUCUUCCCGGGUCCUUUCCGCUGGAGGAUUCCUAUUCUAUGACCCAUGCUGAGCUAUGUGGAUGAGUGUUUGCGUGGAUUUCUUUUAAAACUAUAUUGCUAAAUAAUCUUG